rnacentral:lncRNA from 1 species
CUAUCCAUACAGCUCAAAUUUAAAAUAUACCAUUUACAAAGAAUAUUAAUACCAUACAAUACGUUUAUAUCCCAAUAAUACCAAACUAUCCAUACAUCUCAAAUUCACUUUUCAAUAUAAUUACUAUCCAUACAUCCAAAGAAUGAUAUGGUUCAGAAAAUUUUCAAAAUAAGGAGGAUAAAUGGUAGCAAAAAAAUUG